UACGUAGGGUGCGAGCGUAAUCGGAAUUACUGGGCGUAAAGCGUGCGCAGGCGGCUUCUCAAGUCAGGGGUGAAAGCCCAGAGCUCAACUCUGGAAUUGCCUUUGAGACUGAGUGGCUUGAGUACGAGAGAGGUGAGUGGAAUUCCCAGUGUAGAGGUGAAAAUCGUAGAUAUUGGGAAGAACACCGGUGGCGAAGGGCGGCUCACUGGCUCGUAACUGACGCUCAUGCACGACAGCCGUGGGGAUCAAACAGG
rnacentral:rRNA from 1 species